rnacentral:tRNA from 1 species
GGCUCGGUAGCUUAGUUGGUAAUGCGCAUGUCUAGCAUACAAGAGUCUUGGGUUCAAAUCCCAACCGAGCAC